GGGGGCGUACUGGUUUCGACGUGGAUAUGAAGCCCAAGGGGCAUGCCGAGGCGCAGAUUACCUCGUAAAUACAACUGCAAACUUUAUAGUUGCCAACGAAGACAACUACGCACUAGCUGCUUAAUAACCAGUCAUAGUGCCGUCUGACUGAUGAUGUGCUUGUGCACUCAGAUCCAGGCGUCGACUCACACAAGAUCGCGAUGAAACUUGUUCGAGGUGGAUUCGUUAAAUUUUUUCGAAAUCGCUUUCUGUUUUCCCUGCCAUUCGGGUAGCAGAAAGUUAAAUUAAUAGAAUAGGCUAAGCAUGUAGAACCGACGGUAGAGAAUUUGCGGACGCGGGUUCGAUUCCCGCCGCCUCCACCA
rnacentral:tmRNA from 1 species